UGACAGAGGUAUUAGCAUUGUGACGUCAUAACUGUAACCAUUAUGAUGUCAUACAUCUAGCGGUAUUACACUAGUGUAAUAUUGGAGUGAAAAUAUUACACUGCAAUAUCUUACAGGGGCGAGCAAUAAACAGCAAAUACGGUAUAAGGCAAAGUUUUGUGUAUCGAAGGUCUUCCUGAUUCUGUGACGACAAUGACCCCUAUCUAUGCUGAGACUUGCUCAGGCAAUAUAAGAUGUUUUCAGGGUCCAAAUAGUGCUAUGGUUUGUUAUUGUUGAAUUUAUUUUCUUGAAAGGGAAAGAUGUUGAACAUGUGAAAACUCUCCCCAUAUAUUUGAUUUGAUGAACACAGUCAACUCACUCAUGAAGAUCUGGGUUCGAAUCGGUCUUCAGCAAACCAUGCUUGUCGUAAGAGCUGACCAACGGGAUCGAGUUUGGUUGAUACAUGUCAUUGUAUCCCAUUUGUGUAGAUUGAUACUGAUAAAGUUAAUGACAGAUUGUCAGAUCCAGAAUUGAAUAUCUACACCUGUAUCAUGUACAUGGAACUUUGCCAAUCUAAAUAUUGGUGGGGUAGCCUAGUGGUUAAAGCGUUGACUUGGCACGCCGACGACCUGGGUUCGAUUCCCCACAUGGGCACAAUGUGUGAAGCCUAUUUCCGGUGUCCCCCGCUGUGAUAUUGCUGGAAUAUUUCUAAAAGCGGCGUUAAACCACUCACUCACUCAUUAAAUAUUGGUGGGAUCUUGCUGAUGUGUACCUUGUAUUGUAAAGCUGACAGCUAUAGCUAGUGGUUUUUCUGCAUAUACAGCUGUAGAACUGUCUAGUUUAGUUCCUGAUAUUGAUAUGCAUAAAGUUCUAAUUUGACCAGUAUGUUAGAAUGUUAGUAUCUAUUGUUUUGAGAGAUAAAAUGUUCUUAAAGUAAGUGUUGAGAACAUACACUUUUUAAAAUGGUUAAGAUCAGGAUUAGUCUUGAACCUGAUGCAUCAAUAUUCAGAAUGUGAAUAAUUUUUUCUAAAAUUGUACGUUUCCACAACCAUUCCAAUUGUAUUCUCAACUACAGAAUUGUUUUUCCUGUUUUGUCCUUUCACCAUUUCCUUCCUCUGUAGCUGGGCAUAUAGAGAUAAAAAAUACAAUAACACAAUGGUGGGAUUUAGUGGUUAUAUUGAAAUAGAAGCUUUCCUGCCUUCUUUCCAUCUUCAGCCACUAUCAUGUUAUGAGCUCUGUAAACUGACAAGCAGGACACCAUAUAAGCCAGUCUUGUAUCAUAAUCAUCAGUAUAAUAUAACACUAUGUAAACACUUGAAACGGACUGCUCUACUCAGGAUAGCAUGUAUAAUCCCCUGAAAUAUGCCUAAAGUCCUGUUUUGGAGAAAAUAUUAACUGUAACGUGAAUAUUGUCACCACAGCCUUCAUGUGAAUGGUAAACAAUGAGUUGUCUUGAAAUAUUUCUAUGGAGUGCGUUGGUAUGUUUUACCAAUUGGAGAAUAAUUACUUUUGGAGAAAUUAAAAUGAAAACGAAAUGG